rnacentral:tRNA from 1 species
GCCUGGGUGACUUAGUUGGUUAAGUGUCUGACUGCAGCUCAGAUCAUGAUCUCACAGUUAGUGGGUUCAAGCCCUGCAUCAGGCU